rnacentral:lncRNA from 1 species
AUUCUAGGGACAUGUAGUUGUUCUUAUAAUUUUGUUGAUCAGUGAGAAUUGGUACUGAUGCUUAUGACCUUCUAUUUCUAUGUAUGAGAUCUAGCCAAACCUGUCAUUUAUAUAUUGUACUUGCUGAAUAGUGUUCAGUUUUCAGUCCCUGUUUUAGCUCUAGUACCCGUGACAUAUAUGUUCAUGAUAUAUGUUUCAUGUGGUUUCGUAUUGCUGUUAUGUUGAUCAUUUUAGUGCUAGUACUGUGUCUUGUGUAAUCCAAACCAUAUAUGAUUUGUGUGUGUGACUAAUUGUCAGCUAGUAGCUUUUAAUAAUUCAUAUUGUUUCUUGUGAAUUUUCUAUCGAUGUUACUCUCUGUAGAAGUGAGAUGUAUGAACAUUUAAUUUCCUGUCUCCGUGUUAACGAUGUUUGUGUGAAUAAAUAUAUAUGUUUGUGUUGUGAUAUAUUUCUGUCCCUUUCACAGUAUUGUUCCUUCCCUUUUGUUACAUGUAUGAUAGUAAUAUAUGUGUUCAUGUCUUGUUGCUUCCCUCUAUGUUAGUGUUUUAGCGUCUCAAUUAAAACAAAAAUACCAAAAAUAAGUGAAGUGAAAUCUGAACCUCCCUCUGCUAUUUUGCAUUUUCUUUUGUCAACGAUCUUCCGGAACAACCUUGUUAGUUUAGAUUUUAUUUUCUUGCAAUCAUCUUCUGAAUUGUCACCUAGCUUUAGUCGAGUGCCGUCGCUGUUUGCCUAGUCCCUGUGGAGAACACGACAUUCGUAGUUUGGGGCGUAAAACCCCCGCUAUAUUACAAUUGAUCAUUUUGGCGCCGUUGUCGGGACUAGCGUCGAGCGAUUGUGCUAGGCUAUAGACUAGGUUUUUCUUGUUUUCAUCUUGUGCCAUAUAUUUGUGAUAUAUCUCUAGCCACUAACCCCUGUUCUAGUUAUUAUCUUUUUGUCUUCUUUUCCUUUUUGCAGGUUGGAUUAUCCUCUCGGAAAUGGCAUUCUAUUCAGAUCAUCAUGCUUAUGCGAGCAACACUACAAACAACACAGAAAGUAUUCAAGAACUGAUAAGUAAGAUUUCCCAUCAAUUAGAUGAUUUAGCUCGGCAGCGAGAGGUAGUUUUUGAGGAUAGGCCUAGCUCUUAUGCUCCUUAUUCUAGAGGUAAUCCUUAUGUUGCUCCUACAUGCCAUAUUUGUGGAUCUCAGGGCCAUUCACCCGCUGAAUGUCAGCGUGGUUACUCUCACCCUCCCGAUUGUUAUGGCAUGAGCUUCGCCCCACAGCCUAGCUCAUACCAAAACAAUUACACACAUGGGUGGCCUGAAAACCAGAAUAUGUCAUAUAGGAGCAAUAACCCUGAGAUCUCAUCGUUUGCCUCUAGUUAUCCAAUGCAGGGAUUUAGGUAUGAAGAGGAGAGCCACAACUAUGCUCCACAACAGAUUUAUUCAGCUCCUACUCAUAUACCUCAACAUCAGGACAUGUUGCCAAUGGAGUUAAAUGGUCCUCCAUUUGGUCAACCAACAUCUUCAACACAAGUGCCCACACAAGAUGACUUUGAUGAUAUAGACAAGCUCACAUUGCUUGGUCUCGAGUUCACUUCGAGUGCCGAAGAUGAUCCAAUUAGGCCGGUGAUACUAGAGGAAAUGAAGAAGAUUAAGAGUGGAAAGGAGCUAGUGGAAGAAGUAAGGAAGAUUGAGAAGAACAUCAACGCUGUCAGUACUAUCUCUUCCCUCCUUGAGCUGAGUGUUGCCGGGAUAUCCCUUGAGGUGUGUGAGGUUCCAACACCUUCACAUUUAGCUGAGCAAGAUAGCGAGAGUCCAUAGGAAGAGAUACUUCAGAUCCAAGAAGAAAUUCUCGAAGCCAAAGCACAAGAUGAUCCAGAGCUCGAAUAACAAAGUGAUCAAGUUGAAGACUCAUCAUCUAUUACUCUUGAAGAAGCAAAAGAAGUUGAUGUGAUUGAAGAUGAAGAACCAGAAACGCAUUUUCCCAUCGUCAUACAGGAGCGUGAUUUAGCAGGUUUAUCCAAUCCUCUUGAUGACAUGCUUCCUUAUGAGAUCUUUGCCGCUACUUUACAUUGUGUUAUACCAUCAAUUAAGCUAGACUUGAAAAAUUAUUUGCUUGGACAUGAUCAUACAUACAUUGUUGGUGGCAUUGCUCUCAUUCCUGAUGAUGACACUUAUUUUCCUUAUGCUAGUCCUAUGCUUAAUGAAACAUAUUAUUCCCACGCUAGUCUUGAGCUUAAUGAUAAAUUUCAUCCUCAUGUUAGUGUCGACCUUGCUGAUUUCUACCAUCCUAAACAUGUGCUUUAUAGCUAUGCUUAUGUAAUUGGAUAUUCGAUUGAUGACUUGGAGGGUAUUAUCCCUACCACUUGCAUUGUCUCUUUUGUUGAGAGUGCUUUCAGGUUUUUGCUUGUGCACGAUCCAUUACAUGUUGACCAGGUUCGAGGUGACAUUCCUUGGGACCCUGGUGGACUCAGAGCAUGGGGAUGAGGAGAAGCAAGGGGGCACACACGAGGAAUGGAGAAGCUGGAGCAGGCAUGAGGAUAGGGAAGCAAAAGGAGAGGAGUCACAAUGCAUGAGGAAGCAAAGGAGAAGAGUUGUAGUUUAGAGAGUGUCGAGCGAGUGCUACUUCCUAUAAAAACCCGGUGAGCUGUUUCAUGACCCGAAUCUUAAUAUAUCAUCCAUUGAUACAUGCUGAAAUCAUUUGAUAUUUGGGUUGCUUGAGCCAUUUCUUAAAUGUCGUCCCACUGAAUUUUACCUUUGACAUAUGAUGCUUGAUGUGAAUAUGUGAAGUGAGUGUUGAAUGCCUCGUAACCUAGUGAUCUACAUAAUGCUUGCUUUGCUGAAAUUAGUGAAAGCUAUUAGUUUUGAGUGCUCAAAUCCCUAGUGCACUAGAAAACUUAAUCAUUUUCUACUUUUACCUCGAUACACCUAGAUCAUUAAGUGUCAGAUGCUGAGUUUGUGCCUAAUGUGUUCCCAUUGAGAGCAAUCACCUAACCACUAUGGAUUAGCAUGCUAUGUUCCCUGGAUCGGUAGCAUGUGAACCAGACAUGGAGAAGUGAUGAUUCCUAUUUUUGUGCUUAAGCGUUGUUCAUUUAAGAUAAGUAAUAAUGAAUAAAUAAGUCUGACUACCUACAGUAGCAUGUCAUGUUCCCGGGAUCGGUGGCAUGUGAAAUCGGGUUAGCUUGGGCAGUAAUUAAUAAUAAAAAAUGUAAUUGUCGAACCAGGUGUAUACCAUGUUCUCGGGAUCGGUGGUAUGUUCCUUUGGGGAGACAAACAAACUAAAAAAACUAAUAAUUGGUUGAGCCAGGUGUAUACCAUGUUCUCGGGAUCGGUGGUAUGUUCCUUUGGUGAGACUGAUAAAAUAUUAUCAUUACUUACUUCAAAUUUAAUAAGUGGUUCAACCACAAAGUUAUAUUUCUGCAAAUAAGAGAUUUAAUUCCAGUUCUUUUUGUUCUCGGGAUCAUGCUCUCUUUAGGAACCAUUUGGCGCAGUCAUCAUUUGAACUUGCUAAUCUUCGUUUAUCAUUGCAAAAGUUUAAAAUGGCCGAGUUUAAUAGUGUCCUAUUGAUAUGUAGCACUCUUAACCAUUAAUUUUCACUAGCCAAGUCCAAAGCAUGCAUUGUUUGGAGAUCUACUUCACUUGGACAUUCUCUAGUCAGCUCACUGUUCACUAUCUAGCUCUUGUCGUAUGCCUUUGCUUGAGGACAAGCAAAGAUUUAUGUGUGGGGGAACUUGAUAGAGCAUUUCUUCAUAUAAUCUUUUUAGCCUUUUUGCAUCCUAUUGUAAUCAUAUUUUCACAUUAUUUACUUAAGAAAUACUCCAAUACCCCCAUUAUGCUACAUUUACAACACUCCUCCAUGUUUUGCAGAAAAGGGUGAAAAGGCCCAAAAUCCUUCUAUAAUGGAGAGAGUGUCAAGAAACUGUGGUUGCUCUAAUUCACGGAGGGACCCGGCCGUGAAGAAAAGAAGUAACCAUAGGGGCCAAGCUAAAGUUGGAGGGAUCAUCUUGUGAAGAAAGAAGAGAAGUGGAAGGGCAAAAGAGCAAAAGUGGCAGAUCAGAGGAGGAGGAUCAAAUCCCUAGCGGCAACCAUCGAUCCCCUUCGGGCCUGGCCACAUCUCCUUCUCUUUCCCCUGCCUCCUUCUCCAGCACAGGCCGCCGCCACGGCCAGGCUGGCGUGGGGCGCGCCACCAGCUCCACUUCGCCGCCGCACCUCCGCACUCCAUCCAUCCAUUCGCUGCACCGUGACCCAUCCACCAUAACUACCACGAGUCCCUUGCUGCACCUCACGCCACCAAUCUGAAUCUCUUCUUCCUUCUUGCUGCUGUUCAUCCCAAUCUCGCCGCUGUUCAUCUUUGCUACUGCCCGCAGCUCUCUUCGUCUCUCUCAAACUUGUUGAUGUCGAUGCCCUCAACCUCCUGCUGCUCCUCUCUCCUUGCGCCCCUGCUGUUGCCCCUUCUACCCCUACCUUGCUGCUGCUCUGCUUCUUUUCCAUCCCCACGUUGCUGCUGCUCCUUCUCUCUAUGCCCAUGCUGCUGCUUCUUUCCCAAUCUUGCAAUUGCCCUUCUGCAUCUCCAACUUGCUGCUGCUCCUCUGAACCUCUUCUCCUCCUAGUGUUGCUUCUAUCUUGCCGCUUCCCUGUAGCGGUUCCUUUCCUUCACCCGCUGCUCUCUUUGUGUGUGUGUGUGUGUUCGUGUGUGUGAGAUUGUGUGUGUUUGUACUUCAUAAGUAUUGAUAGUGUGUAAUGAAGAGAUGUGUUAAUUCCAGGGACAUGUAGUUGUUCUUAUAAUUUUGUUGAUCAGUGAGAAUUGGUAUUGUUGCUUAUGACCUUCUAUUUCUAUGUAUGAGAUCUAGCCAAACCUGUCAUUUAUAUAUUGUACUUGCUGAAUAGAGUUUAGUUUUCAGUACCUGUUUUAGCUCUAGUACUCGUGACAUAUAUGUUCGUGAUAUAUGUUUCAUGUGGUUUCGUAUUGCUGUUAUGUUGAUCAUUUUAGUGCUAGUACUGUGUCUUGUGUAAUCCAAACCAUAUAUGAUUUGUGUGUGUGACUAAUUGUCAGCUAGUAGAUUUUAAUAAUUCAUAUUGUUUCUUGUGAAUUUUCUAUCGAUGUUACUCUCUGUAGAAGUGAGAUGUAUGAACAUUUAAUUUCCAGUCUCCGUGUUAACGAUGUUUGUGUGAAUA